CCACAACUAGCCAGUAGCGUUGCUAAGCAACACACUGCUUAUCAGAGGUCCAUGUCCGAAGACAGGCAGCACCGGUAGCUGCACCCUCCCGCUGGAGGACACCAUCAAUGGACCGAACCAAGACGUCUGAUGAGAUGAUACCUCCACAUGGUGGGGAGUAGUGGACUAGUUGUUAGAGAGCAGGGCAUUUGCGGAGAGGCCACAAGAACCUUGGGUCGAAUCCCACAGCCUGCCACUCUGGUUCCUUGAGCAAGACCCUUAGCCCCUGAAUGCUCCCCGGGUGCCGCACAAUGGCAACCCACUGCUCCCUAUGGCAUGGGUUAAAUGU